GCGGGGGAACCCCCUCCACCUUUGUUUAUUGAUUAGUUUAUUUGUUUACCUACUGACGGGGGAACCCCCUCCACCUUUUGUUUAUUGAUUUAUUGAUUAUUUGUUUGUUUACCUGCAGGCGGGGGAACCCCCUCCACCUCUGCGUUGAGCGCUACAGGAAGAUUGAGCGUCUGUGGCGUCAGCACGGCAUCGCUGAGGUCAUAGGUCACGCUCAGGAGGCCAAUCAAACGCUGGUAGCCAUCGACUGGCAGCACCUGUGAUGAUUGGCUCCUCUCUGCGUUUGCCCCGCCCCUUUUCAGUUACUGCGCCGCAUGUUAACAAAUCAGCUUCCUGCAGCCCAGUGCUGACUUCAGAUCAGCGUUCAGGGAUUCUUUCAGGACUUUUGGUUUCGGUGUGAUAGAGGAUCUUUACCAUUGACAUCUCACCGUGUCUGUUUCCCUCCAGUACUCAGACUGUUCCCCCUUUAUUCUUGCUCACACAGACACACAUUUACGAACAUUUCUUUUUUAAAUAGUUUUUUAUUGAUUUUUUUCAAAUUUUCAUUUGUUUCAGAAAAUGAUCCGACAAAAUGAAAAAUCAUUACUUCAACUCAUUAACAUUGUACCAGAAUGAAGCCCCGCCCACCUGCUGCUGUCCCACACAGGUUGAUUGUCAGGUUAGGGUCUUUAAUCUUGAAUCCCGGAUUCAGAAAAUGCUUCAACCCCCAAGAUGCAUCUCAUCAACAAAGAGCUUUAAGAAGCUAAAGGUAACCCUUUGUAGAACCCUUCAGGAACAUUGCGGCCUUGUCUCCAUGGCAAUAUCAGCUGAGGCUCCUGGGUAUUGUUAGUAUUUACAAAAUAAGAACGGUGUAUGUGAAGGCUCUUAUUGUUAAAUCACCACGUCGUCUCUUAAGAAACGUGUAACCAUGGUUGCCACUGUGAUCAAUUACUGAUUGGUGAGUCAUACAUUUGUGUUUCCAUGGCCACACCCUCCCAGAAUUCAGUGCUGCUGCAUAACGGAAAUUGAAAAAGGAUUGUUCCUAUUCAUCGGUUCACAGCAAGCUGACCCUUUGUGGUCCACGGGUUUGUUUUGGUGAGCUGUGAUGUCCCUUCCUCUUUUUUUAUGAGUUUGCUGAAAUUUGAAGAGUCAAACACAAACUGAAAUCUUUCAUUUAUUUAUUUAUUUAUUUAUUAGUUUCUUAUAAAAAUCUGAUUUCCCUUUAAACUCUUGAGUUUGAAAUAUUUUCUUUUUUAUAAGUUUAAAUAAAAAGUGGCCUCAUCUUCCUUAUCUUCAUUUUUCAGACUUGUUAAUAUGUGAAUUAUUGUAUAA
ensembl:lncRNA